rnacentral:rRNA from 1 species
GUACUCCUAGCAGCUAGCCCCCCCCCCAAAAACAACAAACACCAUUAAUAACCCCUGAUAAACCACACCCUAAAAAACAAACCAUUUUUCCUCCCUAGUAUGGGCGACAGAAAAG